UUUUCUAGAUUAAUAACUUAAUUUACUUUUCUACUUUGAUUAAUAAAUUGAUUUUAUAUUCUCAGGAAAAUGAAAGUUGUUACAAAAAGAGACGUUAUCUAAUCUAAUCUAAUUUAUUCUUUACGGCCAUAUUCGUACUGGCAUCAGUGAUAUUUCGUUUAUCAAGCCACCUAAGUCAAUUUGUCGAAUAUUGAAUCACUCGAGACGUAAGAGUUGCGAUUGAUAUGAUGGCGGACAAUCGAAGUAGCGCAGCAAUUUGUUGUUCGCAAUCCAACGAACAAAUACGUCAAUUUAAUUCAAUCCGUCAUAUUAUUUUCGGAUGGGACAAAUUCAAUUUAACAGUGUGGUCACUACUAUUAAUACUCUUCUGCAUUUGGGCCAUAGCAUUUUUUACUGUAUACGCACCGCUACCAGAAAAAAAUGAACAUGAUCAUGCUCAUCAUUGAAUAAAUAACAUUUAUGGAGAAAUAAAAUAUAAUUACUGAAGGAUGAAUAAAAACAUAACUGAACAGAUAGCUCAAGGCUGAAUUAUUGGAUUACUAUGAAUUAAAAAAAUUUAACAAAUAUUAAAAAUCAAUUAUUUUUUUACAGUUAUAUUUAAAAUAAUAAAUUUUAAAUAAUAAAGAAGAAACAAAUAAUUAGUGUGAUGAAUGAUUUAUAAUAGAAUAUAUUGGGAAUAUCUUAUACAAUUGCUAUUAUAAUAAAAGUUAAAAAUAAAAUUUUCAUCAUUAUAUUUAA